CUUCAAACGAGUCCCAAACAGGACGAAACGCGCGUUCUGGAU
rnacentral:hammerhead_ribozyme from 1 species